CCCCAGCGGAGACUCUGGUGUUCAUCAUGGCAAGCUGAUGGCACCAGGAGAAAUGGAGCCCCUGGCCAGUGUGAGUCGUAGCAGUGCAGCAC